rnacentral:lncRNA from 1 species
AUCUUCUUAUUUUCAGCACGAGGUCGGCCUCAGUCUUUAAGUUUGGAUUCUUCUUUCUCAAGCUUCCUGCCCGUGAAGCAGAAGAAGGACUUUGAGAGGUAGAAUAUUCUUGUCACUUACAAAUGUCACAAGCAGCUAUAUAACCUUUCAUAGAUAUUUGUGUAUUGUUUGUAUUUCAGUCUUUUAAUCAUGUGUGUAAUGUAUAUUUUAAGUGACAAGGAGCUGGGCCAGGUGACUACGGCUAAAGAGUGCCCUCUGGUGCCUGAACAAGCAGACUCAUUGAGCCCCCAGCCAGAUCACUCAAUCACCUUGGAGACUUGUAGGCAGGCCAUUACUGACCUUAACAACAGUCUGCGGAGAACUGUCAUGCUGUACACUACGGUUAGUGAGCGUGUGAGUGUAUGUGUUUGUAAAAAUGUGCAAAAGUGUUGGGUCAUAAGAAAGGAAAGGCACACAGAGAGGGAGU